UACGUAGGUGGCAAGCGUUGUCCGGAAUUAUUGGGCGUAAAGCGCGCGCAGGCGGUCCUUUAAGUCUGAUGUGAAAGCCCACGGCUCAACCGUGGAGGGUCAUUGGAAACUGGGGGACUUGAGUACAGAAGAGAAGAGUGGAAUUCCACGUGUAGCGGUGAAAUGCGCAGAUAUCGGGAAGAACACCCGUGGCGAAGGCGGCUCUCUGGGACGGUACUGACGCUGAGACGCGAAAGCGUGGGGAGCGAACAGG
rnacentral:rRNA from 1 species